rnacentral:rRNA from 1 species
AGUGAACGCUGGCGGUAGGCCUAACACAUGCAAGUCGAACGGCGGCACAGUAAGAGCUUGCUCUUACGGGUGGCGAGUGGCGGACGGGUGAGGAAUACAUCGGAAUCUACUUUUUCGUGGGGGAUAACGUAGGGAAACUUACGCUAAUACCGCAUACGACCUACGGGUGAAAGCAGGGGAUCUUCGGACCUUGCGCGAUUGAAUGAGCCGAUGUCGGAUUAGCUAGUUGGCGGGGUAAAGGCCCACCAAGGCGACGAUCCGUAGCUGGUCUGAGAGGAUGAUCAGCCACACUGGAACUGAGACACGGUCCAGACUCCUACGGGAGGCAGCAGUGUGGAAUAUUGGACAAUGGGCGCAAGCCUGAUCCAGCCAUACCGCGUGGGUGAAGAAGGCCUUCGGGUUGUAAAGCCCUUUUGUUGGGAAAGAAAAGCAGCAGGUUAAUACCCCGCUGUUCUGACGGUACCCAAAGAAUAAGCACCGGCUAACUUCGUG